UUCCCGCAGGCCCCGCCCCAUACAGGCCCCGCCCCAUACAGGCCCCGCCCACCCGCCCCAGGCUCCGCCCCGCCCCCAGGGCUUUACUGCAGGCCCCGCCCCACCGCCAGGCCCCGCCCCCGCGGUGGCCUCUUGCGGUUCCACUGGGGAUCCUGGGUCAGUGGCCCAACACCUUUCAAACUCCAGUCUACACCGGUGGCGGCUACUGGAGAAGCUGAUCUGCGAUGCGGGAGGCAGGAGGAGCACCGGAGCCCAGCAAGGAGCCACAUCCAGGAGAUGGGAGGUGUCAACAUGAGCUCACAUGGCCAGCUGUGAGGGACAGAGAUGUCCCCAGGAGUCCCCUCUUCAUCAGCCGAGGAAAACCCCUCUGUGAAAUAAACACCAAAAGCAGCAUGGGCUCCAGGAUUGGAUCCUGGGACAGAAAAAGAACGCAGCGGCGAAACUGGGGACUCUAAAUAAAGUCUGGCGUCUAGCGAGGGACCGCACUGAUUUCCAGCUCUUCUCCAAGGUCCGCAGGAUGCUGACGCGGGAAAUCCGAUGGAGGGCAGCGAGGAAAUCGUGGGCCGCCGGUGCAGUCUGUAAAUCUAAAAUUACUGCCAAGCAAAGAGUUUAUUUUUGUAAAUAACCCAGAUGGGAACAUUUGAUUUCAUGGUUUGGAUUUUAAUUACGUACAUGAGGGGCUUUGUUGUGUCCCCACCUGCUAUAUCUUAAAACGUUAAAAAUUUCCCAGUGUAUAUAGUGAAA